AUUGAACGCUGGCGGCAUGCCUUACACAUGCAAGUCGAACGGCAGCACGGGAGCAAUCCUGGUGGCGAGUGGCGAACGGGUGAGUAAUAUAUCGGAACGUGCCCAGUCGUGGGGGAUAACGUAGCGAAAGCUACGCUAAUACCGCAUACGAUCUAUGGAUGAAAGCGGGGGAUCGCAAGACCUCGCGCGAUUGGAGCGGCCGAUAUCAGAUUAGCUAGUUGGUGAGGUAAAGGCUCACCAAGGCGACGAUCUGUAGCGGGUCUGAGAGGAUGAUCCGCCACACUGGAACUGAGACACGGUCCAGACUCCUACGGGAGGCAGCAGUGGGGAAUUUUGGACAAUGGGCGCAAGCCUGAUCCAGCCAUGCCGCGUGAGUG
rnacentral:rRNA from 1 species